ACAAGUAGUUACGGGCUAUAUUCGUGCGUCUAUUAUUCUCGUAUCGUAACACACUGUCCCUUUUUCUAUCAGAUCGUUUAAUUUACAAUAUUUGCUCGGAAAUACUUCGGUUACUCUUCACAUCGAAGCAUGUUUUUUUUAUCAAACUGUAGUACAUAUUGUACACAAAACUUGAACAAUCUCUUGUGGCAUAUUGUUCUUGUUGCAGGCCGACCAGUCCGUGAAGAAAAUUCUCGUGCCUGGCGGAAUCGAUAUCGCGAUGACACCGAUAAUAGCACCUCCAGUUUUGUGCUGACUGUCGGAUAUGGAUAUAUUUUGGUAUGAUUGCUCGCGAUCGCCAGAAGCUACUGCAAAACAAUAUUAGGUUGAACAAAAAUAUCAGUCUGUUGGUAGCUUUCUGUGAUGGGAAUGACGGCAAGUGUAAAAUGAACUGGAGAAAGCUCAGCACGAAGGCAAACGUGAGCAGCUACUGGAAGCGGAAUAACGGG